ensembl:antisense
GAGUUGGACCCACAGGUAACAAAGUCAACUGAUGUAAACUGGCUCUGUACGUGGACUGUGGUCUGCUGCUUUAGAGCUAGGAAAGGCCUAGAGGAUGGGGCAUCUAGGAAGGACACAUACUUUGGAUUUGGGGCUGAACAAUGAAGUCAGAGUCAACUUAUCCAGUACUCAUGUUCUACAGACUGGCCUUCCAGAGAUGGGGCUGGCCUCAUGGCAUGUGAUGAUCAUGAGGAGUUAGCCUCUGUUGUCCAGAUGCUGGAUGUAGCCAAGAGCCUAAGGCAGCGAAGUAAACCCUGGUGGAAUUCACCAGAAGCCACUGGCUCACCUGGUAUACAGGAUGGACGAUGGCAAGACUAAGCCUGUCUCAAUGUGGGAUAUCUGAAUUUACACACACUCCAAUAAAUUGUGGAAUUACACAGCA